GACGAACGCUGGCGGCGUGCUUAACACAUGCAAGUCGAACGGUGAAGCGCCUUCCUUUUUGGUGGGUGUGGAUGAGUGGCGAACGGGUGAGUAACACGUGAGUAACCUGCCCCCUUCUUCUGGAUAACCGCAUGAAAGUGUGGCUAAUACGGGAUAUUCUGGGUCUGUCGCAUGAUGGGUCUGGGAAAGAUAUUGUUUCGGUGGGGGAUGGGCUCGCGGCCUAACAGCUUGUUGGUGGGGUGAUGGCCUACCAAGGCGGUGACGGGUAGCCGGCCUGAGAGGGUGGCCGGUCACACUGGGACUGAGACACGGCCCAGACUCCUACGGGAGGCAGCAGUGGGGAAUAUUGCACAAUGGGCGCAAGCCUGAUGCAGCGACGCCGCGUGAGGGAUGGAGGCCUUCGGGUUGUGAACCUCUUUCGCCAGUGAAGCAGGCCUGCCUCGUUUGUGGGUGGGUUGACGGUAGCUGGAUAAGAAGCGCCGGCUAACUACGUG
rnacentral:rRNA from 1 species